ACGACUGGAAUCACACAUACACCGCCACAAGAGGUCUGCAGUGAAGGUCCCAGAGUCCCAGACAACGGAGUCUCUCUCUGUCGCCCAGGGUAGAGUGCAGUGGUGCAAUCCUGGCUCACUGCAACCUCUGCCUCCCGGGUUCAAGCGAUUCUCCUGCCUCAGCUUCCCGAGUAGCUGGGACUACAGGCAUGUGCCACCACGCCCAGGAUCUUUCUGCUGAUGCAGCUGUUAAGAGUGUUUCAUAAACUGUGACACUGAGCAAAAUCAUAGAAGGAAACUCUAUGGACAAUUUCAGAUGGAGAAGAAGAAAGGAUUGGAAGUUCAAUUUGGCCAUGACAAUUAGACUUGAAGAAGCUGAGUGAGAAGGCCAUGCGGAUAUCUUGGAGAAGUGCAUUCCAGGAAGAGGAAAAGCCAGUGCAGAGACACUGAAGCAGGGCAUGACUGAUGUGUGUAAGGAGCUCAUAUAUAUGAUCAUCUACAGUCCACUGAGGAGAAUAGCAGACGAGAGGCCAGGUGCAGUGCAUGUAAUCCCAGCACUUUGGGAGACUGAGAUGGGAAGAUCGCUUGAGGCCAGGAGUGCAAGACCAGCCUGGGCAACAUAGCAAGAACUUGACUCUACUAAAAAAAAAAAGGAUCCUUCAACUUCAACAAUAACAACACGAGGGAAGUGAAGAAAAACACUUUCUAAGGAAAUCUCUCUCUGAGCUACCAUCCGGCUAGGGAGAGCCUGAAAGCAGAAUGCUGACUUGACUAGCUCUGGCCAAUAAAGGAAAUCACCAGUGGAAAGGCUACCAGGGGGCUUCCUCAAAAGAGAGGGACGGU
rnacentral:antisense_RNA from 1 species